GACUAUGGAUCAUCCAACAACCAUCCACAUCAACAUCAAAUUAUGCAAUGCAACAUAUUCGUGAAUUUCUAAUGCAAACAUCCUGGAAUAUUUCAUGGCAUUAAUGAUGCAUGAGUAUGCUUUCAGAUUCAUUCAUUUGUUCAUUUAUUCAAUUACUUUACUUAGAAACUUAGGGAGUUAUCCCACUCACCUGGCGACUGAAGCUUUAACAACGGACUCUGA
rnacentral:lncRNA from 1 species